rnacentral:rRNA from 1 species
CCUACGGGUGGCAGCAGUGAGGAAUAUUAGUCAAUGGCCGCAGGGCUGAACCAGCCAAGUCGCGUGAGGGAUGACGGUCCUAUGGAUUGUAAACCUCUUUUGUCAGGGAGCAAAGGGCGCCACGUGUGGCGUUUUGCGAGUACCUGACGAAAAAGCAUCGGCUAACUCCGUGCCAGCAGCCGCGGUAAGACGGGGGAUGCGAGCGUUAUCCGGAUUUAUGGGGUUUAAAGGGUGCGCAGGGGGAAUGUCAAGUCAGCGGUAAAAUUUCGGGGCUCAACCCCGUCGUGCCGUUGAAACUGGGGGUCUUGAGUGAGCGAGAGGUAUGCGGAAUGCGUGGUGUAGCGGUGAAAUGCGUAGAUAUAACGCAGAACUCCGAUUGCGAAGGCAGAAUACCGGCGCUCAACUGACGCUCAUGCACGAAAGCGUGGGUAGCGAACAGGAUUAGAUACCCGAGUAGUC